rnacentral:rRNA from 1 species
AUUGAACGCUGGCGGCAUGCCUUACACAUGCAAGUCGAACGGCAGCACGGGAGCAAUCCUGGUGGCGAGUGGCGAACGGGUGAGUAAUAUAUCGGAACGUGCCCAGUCGGGGGGGAUAACGCAGCGAAAGCUGUGCUAAUACCGCAUACGAUCUAAGGAUGAAAGCGGGGGAUCGCAAGACCUCGCGCGAUUGGAGCGGCCGAUAUCUGAUUAGCUAGUUGGUGGGGGAAAGGACCACCAAGGCGACGAUCUGUAGCUGGUCUGAGAGGACGACCAGCCACACUGGAACUGCGACACGGUCCAGACACCUACGGGAGGCAGCAGUGGGGAAUUUUGGACAAUGGGCGCAAGCCUGAUCCAGCAAUGCCGCGUGCAGGAUGAAGGCCUUCGGGUUGUAAACUGCUUUUGUACGGAACGAAACGGCCCUUUCUAAUACAGGGGGCUAAUGACGGUACCGUAAGAAUAAGCACCGGCUAACUACGUGCCAGCAGCCGCGGUAA